rnacentral:rRNA from 1 species
UACGUAGGGUCCGAGCGUUGUCCGGAAUUACUGGGCGUAAAGAGCUCGUAGGUGGUUUGUCGCGUUGUUCGUGAAAACUCACAGCUCAACUGUGGGCGUGCGGGCGAUACGGGCAGACUGGAGUACUGCAGGGGAGACUGGAAUUCCUGGUGUAGCGGUGGAAUGCGCAGAUAUCAGGAGGAACACCGGUGGCGAAGGCGGGUCUCUGGGCAGUAACUGACGCUGAGGAGCGAAAGCCGUGGGGAGCGAACAGG